rnacentral:lncRNA from 1 species
AAUUUUUUUUCUUUCUGACUGCUUCACUCUUGUUUGCAGCUCCCGUGGCUGGAUAAAGCCAGGGCAAUUCUUUGGAUGUCAAUCAUUUUGAAAGGCGACUUUCUUGCAUGACUUGGUUGGUGAUUAUGCUUCUCAAAAGAAAACACCUACUACUGUUUGUUGAAGACUCUUACUGGCUUAGCCCUGGGUAAGGUGAUCUCUAGCAUUCAAAAGACAUUCUUGUAGACCACAUAUUAUGAGCCAGGCGUCAGUCCGAGUGCUUGACAUAUGUGCAUCAAUUUAGUCACCACAAGUACUGAGAAGCCUUGUUAUUGC